GACGAACGCUGGCGGCGUGCCUAAUACAUGCAAGUCGAGCGAAGUUUUUCUGGUGCUUGCACUAGAAAAACUUAGCGGCGAACGGGUGAGUAACACGUAAAGAACCUGCCUCAUAGACUGGGACAACUAUUGGAAACGAUAGCUAAUACCGGAUAACAGCAUUAACUGCAUGGUUGAUGUUUAAAAGUUGGUUUUGCUAACACUAUGAGAUGGCUUUGCGGUGCAUUAGCUAGUUGGUGGGGUAAAGGCCUACCAAGGCGACGAUGCAUAGCCGACCUGAGAGGGUGAUCGGCCACACUGGGACUGAGACACGGCCCAGACUCCUACGGGAGGCAGCAGUAGGGAAUCUUCCGCAAUGGGCGAAAGCCUGACGGAGCAACGCCGCGUGAGUGAAGAAGGAUUUCGGUUCGUAAAGCUCUGUUGUUAGGGAAGAAUGAUUGUGUAGUAACUAUACACAGUAGAGACGGUACCUAACCAGAAAGCCACGGCUAACUACGUGCCAGCAGCCGCGGUAAUACGUAGGUGGCAAGCGUUGUCCGGAAUUAUUGGGCGUAAAGCGCGCGCAGGUGGUUUAAUAAGUCUGAUGUGAAAGCCCACGGCUCAACCGUGGAGGGUCAUUGGAAACUGUUAAACUUGAGUGCAGGAGAGAAAAGUGGAAUUCCUAGUGUAGCGGUGAAAUGCGUAGAGAUUAGGAGGAACACCAGUGGCGAAGGCGGCUUCUUGGCCUGUAACUGACACUGAGGCGCGAAAGCGUGGGGAGCAAACAGG
rnacentral:rRNA from 1 species